rnacentral:rRNA from 1 species
UACGUAGGGUGCGAGCGUUGUCCGGAAUUAUUGGGCGUAAAGGGCGUGUAGGCGGCUUCGCAGGUCUGUGGUGAAAGGAUACAGCUCAACUGUAUUGAGCCGCGGAAACGGCGGAGCUUGAGGCUGGGAGGGGCUGGUGGAAUUCCCUGUGUAGCGGUGAAAUGCGUAGAGAUGGGGGAGAACACUCGUGGCGAAGGCGGCCAGCUAGACCAGUUCUGACGCUGAGACGCGAAAGCGUGGGGAGCAAACAGG